rnacentral:misc_RNA from 1 species
UUCUUACAUAUCCAUGAACAAUGUAUAAUCAAAUUAUUUGACCUGCUUGAAGAGAAUCAUUAUCAAAACUCAUUGUAUUCUUUUGUACUUAUUAUGUUUAUCAAUACAGUGUACAUAUUAAAUUGAAUAUAACUGUUAUAUUUUAUGUCACGUGUUUAUUGUUACCAUAUGUGUUUUUUAUAUCUAAUAUUGUGAGCAAUAUUGAUCAAAAGGAACUAAAAUCCAUGUAUCUCAAUGAUGUACUAUAUACUACGUUCAAAUAAAAAACACGCAUUAUUU